rnacentral:rRNA from 1 species
AAACCAACAGGGAUUGCCCCAGUAACGGCGAGUGAAGCGGCAACAGCUCAAAUUUGAAAUCUGGCCCCUAGGGCCCGAGUUGUAAUUUGCAGAGGAUGCUUUUGGCAAGGCGCCGCCCGAGUUCCCUGGAACGGGACGCCGCAGAGGGUGAGAGCCCCGUCUGGCUGGACGCCGAGCCUUUGUAAAGCUCCUUCGACGAGUCGAGUAGUUUGGGAAUGCUGCUCUAAAUGGGAGGUAUAUGUCUUCUAAAGCUAAAUAUUGGCCAGAGACCGAUAGCGCACAAGUAGAGUGAUCGAAAGAUGAAAAGCACUUUGAAAAGAGGGUUAAACAGUACGUGAAAUUGUUGAAAGGGAAGCGCUCAUGACCAGACUUGGGCUUGGCGGAUCAUCCGGCGUUCUCGCCGGUGCACUUCGCCUCGCCCAGGCCAGCAUCAGUUCGCCCCGGGGGACAAAAGCUUCGGGAAUGUGGCUCCUCCGGGAGUGUUAUAGCCCGUUGCACAAUACCCUGGGGCGGACUGAGGUUCGCGCGUCCGCAAGGAUGCUGGCGUAAUGGUCAUCAGCGAC